rnacentral:rRNA from 1 species
CGUCAGCUCGUGCCGUGAGAUGUUGGCUUAAGUCCCGCAACGAGCGCAACCCUGGUCCCUAGUUACCAGCGAGUAAAGUCGGGAACUCUAGGGAGACUGCCGGUGUGAAACCGGAGGAAGGUGGGGAUGACGUCAAGUCCUCAUGGCCCUUAUGUCCAGGGCUACACACGUGCUACAAUGGAUGGUACAAAACGACGCAAGCCUGAGAAGGUAAGCAAACCGUAAAAAGCCAUUCUCAGUUCGGAUUGAGGUCUGCAACUCGACCUCAUGAAGUCGGAAUCGCUAGUAAUCGCGGAUCAGCAUGCCGCGGUGAAUACGUUCCCGGGCCUUGUACACACCGCCCGUCACACCAUGGGAGUCGAUUGGACCAGAAGUCG